rnacentral:rRNA from 1 species
UACGGGGGGGGCAAGCGUUGUUCGGAAUUACUGGGCGUAAAGGGCUCGUAGGUGGCCAACUAAGUCAGACGUGAAAUCCCCCGGCUUAACCGGGGAACGGGCCUCGAAACGGGUCAUCUCGAGUGGAGGAGGGGGACCUGGAACGUCCGGUGGAGCGGUGAAAUGCGUUGAGAUCGGACGGAACUCCAAUGGCGAAGGCGGGUUGCUGGGCUGACACUGACGCUGAUGCGCGAAAGCCAGGGGAGCGAACGGG